UGAAGAGUUAAAUGCUAAAAAUGAAAUAGCGUGUUAAUAGGAUGCAGAGUGGGAGUAGAGGUAGAUGUGUUAUUCCUCUGCCUGGGUGAGCUGGGGCUGCCCCGAGAGGCCAUUGCAGCCCCAGGAAGCAGAACUCACUUGGAACACAGAAGAAGGUGGGGUGUUCUCAGAAACACGAAUGGUCCAGGACCCCACUCCAUCCUUUCUUACUCAUGCUGGUACAGGGAAGUACCAGCCACCAGCUUCUGCUGAAAUGAGGCAUCGCAGGCAGAGGAGGGAGGAAGCCGUGGGAGAACGUGGGUCUCUUGUGGGUUUUCUUCUCAACGUGGGAUUCCAUCCUGGGGGAGUGACCACCCAGAACAGAACCAGGGUGCUGUGUGAGCAGAGCAGGCCCAGGGAGAAGUUUCGACCCAGCUGCAAGAGUUAAAUUGAGCUAUAAUUGACAUAUAACAUUAGUUUCAGGUGGGCAACAUCAUGCUGUAUAUUUGUAAAUAUUGUGAAACCCUAUCUCCUCUUGGCCUGCAAAGCCUAACUUUUCUUUUUGCUUUUUCGGGCCACACCGGAGGCAUAUGGAGGUUCCUAGGCUAGGGGUCAAAUGGAAGUACAGCUGCCAGCCUAUGCCACAGACAUCGCAAAUCAGAUCUGAGCCAUGUCUGCGACCCACAUCACAGCUCACGGCAACGCCGGAUCCUUAGCUCCCUGAACGAGGCCAGGGAUCUAAACCGCAACCUCAUGGUUCCUAGUUGGAUUCGUUUCUGCUGCACCACGACGGGAACUCCAAGCCAGAAAUAUUUACUAUCUGGCCCUUUACAGAAAAUUUCCUGACCCCUAAUUUGGAAUCAAAGAAUUCCUUUUGCAUUUUUAAGAGCAGUAAUUUUUUUUAAUGGCCACACCCAUGGCACAUGGAAAUUCCUGGGCCAGGGAUUGAACCCAUACCUCUGCAAAGACCCCAGCUACUGCAGUCGGAUUCUUAACCCAUUAUGCCAUUUUUUUUUUGCAUUUUUAAUGAGCAGUAAUUUUGUAUUUAAUUACAUUUUUUUUUAUUUUUGGCUGCACCCUUAGUAUAAAACUUCCCAGGCCAGGGAUCAAACCCGUGCCACCAUCAGUAACAAUGCUGGAUCCUCAGCCCACUGUGCCACCAGGGAAUUCCUAUAAAUGCUUUAGUAAUUUUUUUUUAAGAGUGCUUCAUCUUACAUAGCAUAUCAGUGGAGUUAGUUUAUAAUCCUGAAUUUCAAAUUUUUUAUGCCAAAGCAUUUAUUGCAGUGAUUUAAAAAAUAAAUAAAUCAGAAGUUCCCAGUGCAACAGGAUUGGUGAGGUCUCUGCAGCACCAGGAUGAAGUAUCAAUCCCCAGCCUAGCACAG
ensembl:lncRNA